UCCGUAGGUGAACCUGCGGAAGGAUCAUUAAUGAAUUCGCUAUGGAGUUGUUGCUGGCCUCUAGGGGCAUGUGCACGCUUCACUAGUCUUUCAACCACCUGUGAACUUUUGGUAGAUCUGCGAAGUCGUCUCUCAAGUCGUCAGACUUGGUUUGCUGGGAUUUAAACAUCUCGGUGUGACUACGCAGUCUAUUUACUUAUACACCCCAAAUGUAUGUCUACGAAUGUCAUUUAAUGGGCCUUGUGCCUAUAAACCAUAAUACAACUUUCAACAACGGAUCUCUUGGCUCUCGCAUCGAUGAAGAACGCAGCGAAAUGCGAUAAGUAAUGUGAAUUGCAGAAUUCAGUGAAUCAUCGAAUCUUUGAACGCACCUUGCGCCCCUUGGUAUUCCGAGGGGCAUGCCUGUUUGAGUGUCAUUAAAUUCUCAAACUCACUCUGGUUUUUUUUCCAAUUGUGAUGUUUGGAUUGUUGGGGGCUGCUGGCCUUGACAGGUCGGCUCCUCUUAAAUGCAUUAGCAGGACUUCUCAUUGCCUCUGCGCAUGAUGUGAUAAUUAUCACUCAUCAAUAGCACGCAUGAAUAGAGUCUAGCUCUCUAAUCGUCCGCAAGGACAAUUUGAUAAUUUGACCUCAAAUCAGGUAGGACUACCCGCUGAACUUAAGCAUAUCAAUAAGCGGAGGA
rnacentral:rRNA from 1 species